UACGGAGGAUGCAAGCGUUAUCCGGAUUCAUUAGGUUUAAAGGGUGUGUAGGCGGACUUUCAAGUCAGUGGUGAAAUCCUACGGCUUAACUGUAGAACUGCCAUUGAUACUGUUAGUCUUGAGUGUAGUUGAGGUAGGCGGAAUGUGUAAUGUAGCGGUGAAAUGCUUAGAUAUUACACAGAACACCGAUUGCGUAGGCAGCUUACUAAACUACUACUGACGCUGAGACACGAAAGCGUGGGGAU
rnacentral:rRNA from 1 species